AGUGAAAUUUCUGGAUCAUAUGGUAAUUCUAUAUUUAACUUUUUGAGUAACUGCCAGACUGUUUUCCAAAGUGGUUGUGCCAUUUUGCAUUCCUACCAGCAGU
rnacentral:pre_miRNA from 1 species